UACGUAGGGGGCAAGCGUUGUCCGGAAUCAUUGGGCGUAAAGCGCGUGUAGGCGGCACGGUCAGUCUGGUGUGAAACCUUGGGGCUCAACCCCAAGCCUGCACUGGAUACUGCCGCGCUCGAGUCCGGGAGAGGGAAGCGGAAUUCCUAGUGUAGCGGUGAAAUGCGCAGAUAUUAGGAAGAACACCGAUGGCGAAGGCAGCUUCCUGGAACGGUACUGACGCUGAGACGCGAAAGCGUGGGGAGCGAACAGGAUUAGAUACCCUGGUAGUCCACGCCGUAAACGAUGGGCACUAGAUGUGGGCGGUGUCGACUCCGCCCGUGUCGUAGCUAACGCAUUAAGUGCCCCGCCUGGGGAGUACGGCCGCAAGGCUA
rnacentral:rRNA from 1 species